rnacentral:rRNA from 1 species
GAACACCAAAGGCGAAGGCAUUGCACUGGGCUGGUACUGACCCUGAGAGACGAAAGCGUGGGGAGCAAAACGGAUUAGAUACCCGUGUAGUCCACGCCGUAAACGAUGGAUACUAGAUGUUCGGGGAUUCGACCCCCUGGGUGUCACAGCUAACGCGUUAAGUAUCCCGCCUGGGAAGUACGGCCGCAAGGCUAAAACUCAAAGGAAUAGACGGGGAUCCGCACAAGCGGUGGAGCGUCUGGUUUAAUUUGAUAGUAAGCAAUGGACCUCACCAAGGUUUGACAUCCUAUGACAACCCUGGAAACAGGGCUUCCUUCGGGCAUAGUGACAGGUGCUGCAUGGUCGUCGUCAGUUCGUGCCGUGAGGUGUUCCGUUAAGUCGGGAAACGAACGAAACCCUCGUCGCAUGUUACAAAUUUCAUGCGAGACUGCCCGGGUCAACCGGGAGGAAGGCGGGGAUGACGUCAGAUCAGCAUGGCCCUUAUACCUUGGGCUACACAGGCGCUACAAUGGCCGGUACAAAGGGUUGCAAAACCGCGAGGUGAAGCUAAUCCCAUAAAGCCGGUCCAAGUUCGGAUUGGAGGCUGCAACUCGCCUCCAUGAAGUUGGAAUCGCUAGUAAUCGUGGAUCAGCCAUACCACGGUGAAUACGUUCCCGGAUCUUGUACUCACCGCCCGUCACACCAAGAGAGUUGGUAGCUCCUGAAGCGUCGCAUUAGCGGCACCACGGAGAGAUCAGCGAUAGGGGUGAAGUCGUAACAAGG